rnacentral:rRNA from 1 species
UGCAAGUCGAACGGUGAAGCCAAGCUUGCUUGGUGGAUCAGUGGCGAACGGGUGAGUAACACGUGAGCAACCUGCCCUGGACUCUGGGAUAAGCGCUGGAAACGGCGUCUAAUACUGGAUAUGAGCUCCUUCCGCAUGGUGGGGGUUGGAAAGAUUUUUCGGUCUGGGAUGGGCUCGCGGCCUAUCAGCUUGUUGGUGAGGUAAUGGCUCACCAAGGCGUCGACGGGUAGCCGGCCUGAGAGGGUGACCGGCCACACUGGGACUGAGACACGGCCCAGACUCCUACGGGAGGCAGCAGUGGGGAAUAUUGCACAAUGGGCGGAAGCCUGAUGCAGCAACGCCGCGUGAGGGAUGACGGCCUUCGGGUUGUAAACCUCUUUUAGCAGGGAAGAAGCGAGAGUGACGGUACCUGCAGAAAAAGCGCCGGCUAACUACGUGCCAGCAGCCGCGGUAAUACGUAGGGCGCAAGCGUUAUCCGGAAUUAUUGGGCGUAAAGAGCUCGUAGGCGGUUUGUCGCGUCUGCUGUGAAAUCCCGAGGCUCAACCUCGGGCCUGCAGUGGGUACGGGCAGACUAGAGUGCGGUAGGGGAGAUUGGAAUUCCUGGUGUAGCGGUGGAAUGCGCAGAUAUCAGGAGGAACACCGAUGGCGAAGGCAGAUCUCUGGGCCGUAACUGACGCUGAGGAGCGAAAGGGUGGGGAGCAAACAGGCUUAGAUACCCUGGUAGUCCACCCCGUAAACGUUGGGAACUAGUUGUGGGGACCAUUCCACGGUUUCCGUGACGCAGCUAACGCAUUAAGUUCCCCGCCUGGGGAGUACGGCCGCAAGGCUAAAACUCAAAGGAAUUGACGGGGACCCGCACAAGCGGCGGAGCAUGCGGAUUAAUUCGAUGCAACGCGAAGAACCUUACCAAGGCUUGACAUACACC